rnacentral:lncRNA from 1 species
UGUUCCACAUAGAAAUGUACCACACACAGAUAUCAAAAUGGAAAGAACAAACACUCAGGAGAUAAAACAGUUUCAGGUAUGGAUGUCCUGUGUGCGGUAAAAAUACCAUCAGAACCAAGAAAGGAAAAAAUCAGGAAGUAACAUAGGGCCAGGAAGAAGGGAACCCCCUGAGUCAAGCUAAGCACAACCAAUAAUAAAGACAAAGAGUAUUGUUAUUUUUAUUAUUAA